rnacentral:rRNA from 1 species
UAUCAAUAAGCGGAGGAAAAGAAACUAACAAGGAUUCCCCUAGUAACUGCGAGUGAAGCGGGAAAAGCUCAAAUUUUGAAUCUGGUGGUCUUUGCAGGCCGUCCGAGUUGUAAUCUAGAGAAGCGUCUUCCGCGCCGGCCCGUGUACAAGUCUCCUGGAAGGGAGCGUCGUAGAGGGUGAGAAUCCCGUCUCUGACACGGACCACCGGUGCUAUGUGAUGCGCUCUCGACGAGUCGAGUUGUUUGGGAAUGCAGCUCAAAAAGGGUGGUAAACUCCAUCUAAAGCUAAAUACUGGCGAGAGACCGAUAGCGAACAAGUACCGUGAGGGAAAGAUGAAAAGGACUCUGGAAAGAGAGUUAAACAGUACGUGAAAUUGCUGAAAGGGAAACGCUCGAUGUCAGUCGCGUCGGCUGGGGGUCAACCUUGCGGUUUCGCUGGGUGUAUUUCCUGGUCGACGGGUCAGCAUCAGUUUCGGUCGUCGUACAAGGGCCGAGGGAAAGUGGCACCCUUUCGGGGGUGUGUUAUAGCCUUUCGGUCGUAUGCGGCGGCUCGGGACUGAGGAGACUCGGUGUGGGCUUCGGCUUGCACUAGAGAUGCUGGCAUAAUGGCCUUGAGCGACCCGUCUG